GAGUUUGAUCUUGGCUCAGAACGAACGCUGGCGGCAGGCUUAACACAUGCAAGUCGAACGCCCCGCAAGGGGAGUGGCAGACGGGUGAGUAACGCGUGGGAAUCUACCCAGAUCUUCGGAACAACUGAGGGAAACUUCAGCUAAUACCGGAUACGCCCUACGGGGGAAAGAUUUAUCGGUUCUGGAUGAGCCCGCGUUGGAUUAGCUAGUUGGUGGGGUAAUGGCCUACCAAGGCGACGAUCCAUAGCUGGUCUGAGAGGAUGAUCAGCCACACUGGGACUGAGACACGGCCCAGACUCCUACGGGAGGCAGCAGUGGGGAAUAUUGGUCAAUGGGCGAAAGCCUGAACCAGCCAUGCCGCGUGAGUGAUGAAGGCCUUAGGGUUGUAAAGCUCUUUCAGUGGGAAGAUAAUGACGGUACCCACAGAAGAAGCCCCGGCUAACUUCGUGCCAGCCGCCGCCGU
rnacentral:rRNA from 1 species